UACGUAGGGGGCAAGCGUUUGUCCGGAAUUAUUGGGCGUAAAGCGCGCGCAGGCGGCCUUGUAAGUCUGUCGUUUAAACUCGGAGCUCAACUUCGAGUCGCGAUGGAAACUGCAAAGCUUGAGUGCAGAAGAGGAAAGUGGAAUUCCACGUGUAGCGGUGAAAUGCGUAGAGAUGUGGAGGAACACCAGUGGCGAAGGCGACUUUCUGGGCUGUAACUGACGCUGAGGCGCGACAGCAUGGGGAGCAAACAGG
rnacentral:rRNA from 1 species